rnacentral:rRNA from 1 species
UACGUAGGGCGCAAGCGUUGUCCGGAAUUAUUGGGCGUAAAGAGCUCGUAGGCGGUUUGUCGCGUCUGCUGUGAAAACUCGAGGCUCAACCUCGGGCUUGCAGUGGGUACGGGCAGACUAGAGUGCGGUAGGGGGUGACUGGAAUUCCUGGUGUAGCGGUGGAAUGCGCAGAGUAUCAGGAGGAACACCGAUGGCGAAGGCAGGUCACUGGGCCGCAAC